AAGGAUUUAAGUUAAAUAAACUAAUAACCUUCAAAGUUAUAAAUAAAAUUAUUAUAUUUUAAGCCUUA
rnacentral:tRNA from 1 species